UAGUAUUCUUGUACACAACUAUGCUUGCAAUGCGUGCAUAAUACCGAAAUAUUUUUUUAAUAACAAAUUUAAUUUUUAACGUAAUUCUAGCCCAAACAAAUUAAUAAAUCUGCCUGAAUUUCAGGUAUUUCAAAUUCAAGCAGCACAGAAAUUUUUAUGAGGCUAAAUUGAAGUUACAAAACGAUGUUUUUACACUCUURAAGUCUCAGAACAACCAUCUUCCUCCGUUAGAGGAAGAUAAUGCCGCUAUCUUUAAAAGGGUGCUGAAGGCAAGGGCCAUUGCAGAAUCUACCCGUCUGCAAGCAAUUUAUGCGGAGGAAGCCAGGCGGUAAUAAUUAACACUAAGUUAUUUAUAUACCUGGGCGAGGGCAGAAUCUAUGAUGAGAACUGCUUGGCGGCGGUCAGUUCCCGCUGUCCCAAGCAAUUUAAUUGAUUUGGGCGAUAUUUUGGGACAGCAAUUAAACGAAAAAUAUGUUUGCUGCAAGCGAAAUAGUUUCCAGACUAUCUUGGGGGAAGAAAAUGCAGCAAACCUAGUUUUUGCGUGUAGGGAAUUUGUUAACAACUUGGUGCGUCGAGGCCUCACCGAAAACCACGCAGACGGGACAUUCAAAGUGGUGCCAGCGGCCCCAUCGUCUAGGCAGUUCUUCAUCAUUCAUGCAAUGGUGGAGAACCAUGUAAGAUUAUUUACUUGUUUGGUUAAUUAUGUAUAAAUUUUCUUAAUUAAUAUUUAGUACGUACCACUUUUUUAUAAUUUGUUUAAAGUCCAUACCAAUGAUGUUUGCAUUGAUGGGUACCCGGACGGAGGCCGCAUAUAAUCAGAUCAUUGAUUAUUUUAAAACUCAGGUUGCCCCAACAUUGGCACCUGAGUUAAUAAUCACUGACUAUGAAAGGGAGCUGCAAAACAGUUUGCAGCAGAAUUAUAGGUAAAAAAACUUAAAACUACAAUGAGUGACAACACCCCACAACCAGUGUUAAAACUGCAAAAUAAAUUCGAGCCGCUCGCAGAGUUCGAAAAAAUAGACGAAGACCAGCAAUCAGGCCCAAAUAAAAACACCGAAACCCUCACAACCACUACCACAACGUUGACUCAGACGCCCCCGACAGCAACGCCCAAAACAAUUACGACCAGAGAAAAGCCACAACCCCCAGUCAUUUUACACGGCUUUCUGGAAAAACUCCACGAACUACAAAAUAUUUUGCGAACUAAGGUAGGAAAAAAUUAUUCCAUAAAAUUUACGCGCAAGAACACGAGCAUAUAUUUAACCAACAAAAAGGACUGGCUAAUAAUUAAAAAUCUACUGUAAACUACAGGUGAGGGUUUUCACAGUUACACACAUGAAGAGGACAAAACCCAAGCAUUUGUUUUAAAAGGGCUAGGACGCGGCCACACUGUAGAAAAGGUACAAGAAGCUCUCAUUGGAGAGCAUCAACUUGAAAUUAAUCAAAUUUUUGCAAUGCGCGGGACCAUCCGUCCAACGUAUUUAAUAAUUACUACUAAAAAUAACAAUAUUAAAACUAUUGAGACUAAUAUAAGAAUUUUAUUAAAUACACGUGUCUACUAGGAAAGACAUCACAACAACAAAAUAUUGACACAUUGUCACCGCUGUCAGAUGUGGGAUCACGCGACCUCCAACUGUUUUGCAGCUCCCAGGUGCCUCAAAUGCGCCGAGGAGCACUUAACCAAAGAAUGUUCAGCCAAAAACAUUUCACCUGAAAAACUAAAAUGUGCAAACUGCAGCGGUGCCCAUUGUGUCCAAUAAUACUGAGUGUCCUGUGUAUAUGAAACAAUUGAAUACAUUUUAAAAGCUAGUUUACACUAUGCGAGUUAUCUUAUGAUUUGUCUUUAGAGUUACCUUAAUUGGCUAUAUUUUUGUUUACACUGUGCGAUUUGUCAUCUAAUUCUAUGCUAUUAGAGAACUCUUAACAAAACAGCCAAUCAUAACCACUAACAGCAAUUAGGACGGUCGCUAUUCCAUCUGAGAAAUUUUAUGACCUAGCAUGCUAUGUGGAUAAAGCCAGCAUUCUAGUUUACCGACUGUCAAUGCGUCAAGCAUGUGUGAAGCGUGUAAAACUUAAAAAUAACCUCACUUAAAAUUCAGCUGCACAGGUGUUUAGUCGCAUUUUGUAAUUUUGUUACUACCAUAAGGUAAUAAGGUUGAAUGAACAAGUUUAACAUCCCAGUUAAUUGAAUUAUACGAAGGGCACCCGUAUUUGUUUGAUACAAAACAUAAGUUUUAUUCUAAUAAACAUGCCAGGAAUGAAGCUCUGGUUCAAAUUACUGAACGUUUAACGAUGGCGUGUAAUAAGAAAAUUGAAGUGGAGGACGUUGAAAAAAAUUAACAAUUUGCGGUCCCAGUUACUAUGAAAGGGGGCUGCAAAACAGUUUGCAGCAGAAUUAUAGAGAGGCCCAGGUGAAAGGGUGCUUUUUUUCACUAUGCACCAAGCAUUUGGAAGAAAAUGAAAAGUCUGGACCAUCUACAAUUGGUAAAUGCGAACCAGGAUGCCGGACGGGUGGUGCGUAUGACAAUGGUACUACCAUUGCUUCCGGCAAACAGCAUGAGAAAGGGGCUAUAGGCUCGUCAUAAUUUGCAGAUGGGUGCUCUUUUUUCCUAUAUUCAACGAUACUGAAUCAAUUCUGUGGGGGAAGAUAGGGUGUCCAUCUUUAGAUUGCCACAAAGAACAAAAUAAUAUAGAAUCAUUCCAUAGCCUGCUAAAACACAAGGUUAAUAGUAGAAUGCAUCCUAAUAUUUGGAAACUUUUAGAAAAAUUGCUGGACAUCAUAAAAGACGGAUACUCCUAUAUUAGAACAAGUAACCAAAGGCCAGCGGGUAACAAGGUGGAAGAGGGUUGCGUAUGUGACGCAAGUUAGGGAGGCCCAAGAGGACGUAGACCUCGGCAGGAUUUCGUUGUUCCAAUUUGUACGGCGUAGUUCGUACACCGUAGAAACCUUGAAGGAAGAUUUUGGGAAUUGAAYCAACGCACAUCCUCAAGAAGUCGAGCCAGAGGACCCUCUCGCUGUCCCUCUUCAGCCCCCUCUUCCGCAACCCAUCAUGCUUGUUGUCCCAGGUAU